CACGUAGGGCGCAAGCGUUGUCCGGAAUUAUUGGGCGUAAAGAGCUCGUAGGCGGUCUGUUGCGUCUGCUGUGAAAACCCGGGGCUUAACCCCUGGCUUGCAGUGGAUACGGACAGACUAGAGGUAGGUAGGGGAGAAUGGAAUUCCCGGUGUAGCGGUGAAAUGCGCAGAUAUCGGGAGGAACACCGGUGGCGAAGGCGGUUCUCUGGGCCUUACCUGACGCUGAGGCACGAAAGCGUGGGGAGCAAACAGG
rnacentral:rRNA from 1 species